ensembl:lncRNA
AUUUACAGGCUUUAUUGGUGGGCUCCACUAAAAUUAAGAUGGAAACUAUGAAGUCUUGCGCACACAUAGAGAAUGUGCGUGGAGGAGAAGAGAUCAAUAGAUGUGGCACAGUGUGCUGAACUCUAUUACCAGAAACAGGAUUUCAAGCCUCAACUGGGCAAAUAUGUAACAAUGUUUUCUCAACUCCAGACUCAAACAGAGUCCAACCCCUGGUUCCAGAGCCUGAGCCAUGUGUUGGCUAAGACUAGUCAGUAUCUCUCAACGUCCAGCACCAACUCAGGCUCCCACUCCACCUGAGAGAAUACUUGGCAUGCAGAUUGGUUGAGCCAGGGAUCGAACCACCAACCUUCCAAUCAGUAGGUGACCUGCGCUACCUCCUGGCUACAGCCACCCCACAGCCCACACCCCAAUUGUCAGGAGCCAGGAGCUUUCCUUCUCCUCUGUCACAGGUAGGGGAAGCUGUUCCCCGGGUUUAUAGCUUCUCAUGGGACGACAGUUCAGAUUGACUGAUGGAGACUUCUUGGAGACUCCAUCUGCUGGCGAGGAACAACUCUGUUAUUUAACUGGGAGUUAGAAUUACUGGGAAUAAAACUAAUUAAAUGAUUAGGAAUUCAAUUAAAUUCAGUUUUAUUUAUAUAGCCCAUAAUCACAACAACAAAGCCCCAGCAUUCAUCUUAACCGAAUAUGUGGACUAUGCUUAAAAGUGACGUUCAUACCAGGAAAUCAACCAAUUACAAACCAAAAAUAAAGAUUGAGCCAUAACUAUACCCAAAGCUGGUUGAUGCUACGUGAAGCAAAUAUUAGUGGAAGUGUAUGUAUAUGUUUGACCCUGCAAGUCCAAUUCUGAC